AUGGGGUAGGAAGGGUGGGAGGGAGGCUCAAGAGGGAGGGGAUAUGGGGAUAUAUGUAUAAAUACAGCUGAUUCACUUUGUUGUACAGAAGAAACUGGCACAACAGUGUAAAGCAGUUAUACUCCAAUAAAGAUCUGGAAGAAAAAAAAAAAAAAGAAAGAAAUGGAUGCCAAAGGUCUGGUGAAAGGGACCCACGAACAAGAGGAACCAGAGUUGGUGGCAGUCUAUCCUGAAAGAACUUCAGCCCCAGCGAAGACCCUAUAAGUGAACAUACGACCUCUUGGGCAGGCAUCCCACCAGCUUCCUGUCCUGGGAGAGGGAAGAUGAAGUGGACUCCCGGCCUUCUGUGAAAACCCACUAAACCCACUUGCCUUCCUGGGGAGGUUAUUUCUGCAUAGUGUACCUUUUGUGUCUUCCCUUUGAUCAAAGGAACACUUAAGGCCCCUUUGAGGCAUCUAACAUGACAAGCCUAUUCACUCUCCAGGGUUGACAUUUCUCCUAGAGUUUCACUUGACCCUUGCACCAUAUACAAUGCACCUUUUCUCUGCCCAUGUUGGGACUUAAUGCCAAAGCCUCUGGGGCCACUGCUCCUGGGUCAGUCCCUCUCUCUCUCUCUUCCCUCUAAGUCUCCCUCCAAGAUUUCAGGUAAGGUUUACACUUCUUUGGUAAUGAGACCUCCUCAUCCUUACUCUUACAUAGCCUUAAACAUGGCAUUGCAUCUUUUUUUUAGAGAAAAGGCCAGUUUUCCUGUUAUUUGUGGACAUUAACGGCAAUCCAGACUUACCUGAGAAUGCACCCAGAAUUUGGGGCUGGGUCUACGAAUGUAUCCAUUUAUGGAACAAUCUACGUGAACUUAAAGUCGUGAAUCCUCAUGAGGCCUACUCAUGUUAUGGAUGUGCUGCGUGCUGUCCACUCUGCUUUAGAGGUGAGUAUGCCAGGGCACAGCUGGGGAAGAUGAUACCCCUGAGAUUCCACAGGAAGUCUUCCGGACUCACCCCCUCCCCUGCAGAUCACACCAUGGAGAACUCCGGAAAUGGCUCAUCAAAGCAGGGACGGCCAGUCCCUUGACAAGUGACUGGAUUUAGAUCUGAAAGCAGAGAUGGGUUAAAACUCCCUGCAUCCAGAUGUCCUAACCACAGACCAAAGCUCAAGAGGAGGCAAGGGGAGACAAGCUCCACGGGCCUACUCUCUCUUUCUCAGAAGAGGGUGAAGGGUUCUUGGAAAUUCCCGUAAAGCAUCCAAAUGAGCAAAUCCAGGGCUGAUUGCUGUCAGGUUUCCCAGCAGGAUUAUGGGCAGACUGGCCAGCUGUUCCAUCCCCUAGCUCUGUCUUAACUUCAAAGACUGGGUUCUCUGUCCCAGGAAAAGUGGUCCAUACUGUGAAAUGCCCUGAAACCCUUCCAGAUCUCAACACAUGCCUACAUUAAGGUGUUGCUCUUGGGCCUCCAGGAACCUGUCUCUAACAUACAGCAAUAAGCAUCCUCUUCCCCCUCCCUCUCCAGCAAACAUCUCUCCAAGAAAAGAAACUGAAGCUAAUGACACUGGUGGAGGCAGGACCACCACGUACGGUCAUGCAGGCUGUUCACUGCACAAAAGGGUGGGUGGGGGCUGAAAUCCAGCCCUCACUCUGCUUGCCAAGCUGUGCCCCCUGUCAUGGCUACAUCCACACAGGGGAAUGGGUGGCUUUUUCUAAUCUGCACAUAUGUGCCACGCGGGCGAGCAGUGACCCUGGGUGGAGAGCCCAAAGAAUUACAUCUGGGGAGGGAAAUAAGCCAAUCCUUCCCUUGCCACCACCUAAAUAGUCUAACCAGGUGUUCCUCAGGUGAUUAGAUAUGCUAAUAGGGCAGCCUUCUUAGAAGGUAAUAGAAUAUGAUGGAUAAACCAGUAGGUCCAGUAAGGCUUUAUGUUUUAUUUCUAUAUGUCCUGAGUUCAGAUGACAGUGAAAAUGAACUACUGAGAUGUACUAAAGGAGGAUCAAAUGUCUUGUUUCUGUUAAACUACUUUAAGGAGAGUAAAGAUUUAUAGUAGUAUAACCCUUCUGUGUUGGAAACACCAGGGUUUUGGAAUCUUUCCCAGACACUGGGCUCUAGCUUCACGUACCUUGAGCCUGUUGGUCAGGAAGUAGGCCCCUGAAAGAUGAGGUAAAGUGGGCAUUUUCUCAGGAAGACGACCUUCCCCAUGGAGGGCCAGGCUUCUCACCAGAGAACGCACUCCCUACUGAGAACCAUUUGCUGACAGUGCCGUCUGAACAGUGGCCUAACAUCAUGUGCCGCUUGGGAAAGGAACUGUGAUUCCAGCAAAUGCUUGACGGAUGCUGAAGACAGGGCAGUGGUCCCUCUUGCUCGCUGCUUUACACUGCAGGCAUGUUUGGCAAAGUCUUCCUGUAGGUCAAAAAAUGAGCUAUGGGGACUUCCCUGGUGGCCCAAUGGUUAAGAGUCCGCCUGCCAAUGCAAGGGAGACGGGUUCGAUCCCCGGCCCAGGAAGAUCCCACAUGCCAUGGAGCAACGAAGCCCGUGUGCCACAACUACUAAGCCUGUGCUCCAGAGCCCGCGAGCCACAACUACUGAAGCCUGGGCACCUACAGCCGGUGUUCCGCAACAAGAGAAGCCACCACACUGAGAAGCCCACGCACCGCAAUGAAGAGUAGCCCCCACUUGCCACAACUAGAGAAAGCCUGUGUGCAGCAAUGAAGACCCAACGCAGCCAAAUAAUAAUAACAAUAAAUAAAUAAAU